rnacentral:rRNA from 1 species
CACGUAGGGGGCAAGCGUUGUCCGGAAUCAUUGGGCGUAAAGCGCGCGUAGGCGGCCAGAUAAGUCCGGUGUGAAAGUCAAAGGCUCAACCUUUGAAUGCCGCUGGAAACUAUCUGGCUAGAGUCCGGAAGGGGCGAGUGGAACUCCUGGUGUAGCGGUGAAAUGCGCAGAUAUCAGGAAGAACACCUAUGGCGAAGGCAGCUCGCUGGGACGGUACUGACGCUGAGGCGCGAAAGCGUGGGGAGCAAACAGG